rnacentral:rRNA from 1 species
CAGUUAAAGCUCGUAGUUGGAUUUUGGUUAAGAGGGCGCGGUCGGCCGUUUGGUCUGUACUGCGUUGUCUUGACUUCCUGAUGAGGACAUGCUCUUGGUUAACGCUGAGACAUGGAGUCAUCGUGGUUACUUUGAAAAAAUUAGAGUGUUCAAAGCGGGCUUACGCUUGAAUAUAUUAGCAUGGAAUAACACUAUAGGACUCCUGUCCUAUCUCGUUGGUCUCGGGAUGGGAGUAAUGAUUAAGAGGAACAGUUGGGGGCAUUCGUAUUUCAUUGUCAGAGGUGAAAUUCUUGGAUUUAUGAAAGACGAACUUCUGCGAAAGCAUUUGCCAAGGAUGUUUUCAUUAAUCAAGAACGAAAGUUGGGGGCUCGAAGAUGAUUAGAUACCAUCCUAGUCUCAACCAUAAACGAUGCCGACUAGGGAUUGGUGGAUGUUAAUUGAUGACUUCACCAGCACCUUAUGAGAAAUCAAAGUUUUUGGGUUCCGGGGGGAGUAUGGUCGCAAGGCUGAAACUUAAAGGAAUUGACGGAAGGGCACCACCAGGCGUGGAGCCUGCGGCUUAAUUUGACUCAACACGGGGAAACUUACCAGGUCCAGACAUAAGUAUGAUUGACAGAUUGAGAGCUCUUUCUUGGAUCUAUUGGUGGGUGGGUGGCAUGGCCGUUUCUUAGUUGGGGUGGGAUGAUUUUGUCCUGGGUUUAAUUCCGUUAACGAACGGAGACCUCAG